GAAAUGCGAUAAGUAGUGUGAAUUGCAGAAUUCAGUGAAUCAUCGAAUCUUUGAACGCACAUUGCGCCCUUUGGUAUUCCUUAGGGCAUGCCUGUUCGAGCGUCAUUCAAACCUUCAAGCUCUGCUUGAUGUUGGGUGUCUGUCCCGCCUCUGGGCGCGGACUCGCCUCAAAUUCAUUGGCGGCCGGUACGUUGGCUUCGAGCGCAGCAGAAACGCGUUCUCGAGGCUGGCGGACUUGCUCCCAGAAGCUAACCCAUGAAUUUUGACCUCGGAUCAGGUAGGGAUACCCGCUGAACUUAAGC
rnacentral:misc_RNA from 1 species